AGAACGAACGCUGGCGGCAGGCCUAACACAUGCAAGUCGAACGCUCGUAGCAAUACGAGAGUGGCAGACGGGUGAGUAACGCGUGGGAACCUUCCCAGUGGUACGGAAUAGCUCAGGGAAACUUGAGGUAAUACCGUAUACGCCCCUCGGGGGAAAGAUUUAUCGCCAUUGGAUGGGCCCGCGUAGGAUUAGCUAGUUGGUGAGGUAACGGCUCACCAAGGCGACGAUCCUUAGCUGGUCUGAGAGGAUGAUCAGCCACACUGGGACUGAGACACGGCCCAGACUCCUACGGGAGGCAGCAGUGGGGAAUAUUGGACAAUGGCGCAAGCCUGAUCCAGCCAUGCCGCGUGAGUGACGAAGACCUUAGGGUGUAAAGCUCUUUGGCGGGGAAGAGUAAUGACGGUACCGCAAGAAUAAGCUCCGGCUAACUUCGUGCCAGCAGCCGC
rnacentral:rRNA from 1 species